rnacentral:rRNA from 1 species
GAUGAACGCUGGCGGCGUGCUUAACACAUGCAAGUCGAACGGUGAAGCUCCAGCUUGCUGGAGUGGAUCAGUGGCGAACGGGUGAGUAACACGUGAGCAACCUGCCCCUGACUCUGGGAUAACAGCCGGAAACGGCUGCUAAUACCGGAUAUGCACCAUGAACGCAUGUUCUGCGGUGGGAAAGAUUUUUCAGUUGGGGAUGGGCUCGCGGCCUAUCAGCUUGUUGGUGAGGUAAUGGCUCACCAAGGCGUCGACGGGUAGCCGGCCUGAGAGGGUGACCGGCCACACUGGGACUGAGACACGGCCCAGACUCCUACGGGAGGCAGCAGUGGGGAAUAUUGCACAAUGGGCGAGAGCCUGAUGCAGCAACGCCGCGUGAGGGAUGACGGCCUUCGGGUUGUAAACCUCUUUUAGCAGGGAAGAAGCGAGAGUGACGGUACCUGCAGAAAAAGCGCCGGCUAACUACGUG